AUGUUAAAGUUAGCUCUAUCUGGAAAAAUCGAGAAGGUAUCGUCAGUAUUAUCGUCAUAGAGAUUGGAAUUUCCGACAGAUCUUUAUUAGGAUGAUGGAUAGCGGCGGCGAUGGUAGCAAUAAACUCACGCUCGACGAUGUACGAGAGUUAAUUAUCAAAAAUAUCGAGCCUGAUGUAGAAAUUCAUAGUUUAGACGAAGAACCAGGAUCGGGAAGAGGAGACAAUUAUACUUCGAUGUUGUACCGGAUCCGAGCGAAGGGGCGUAAGCUGUUGAAAGAAGAAUGGAUUAAUUAUGAAUGCACCAUCAUUUACAAGAUUUUGCCGGAAUCUAAAAAACGUCGUGAAGCUUUUAAAAGCGAAUUGUUAUUCAGAAAUGAAGUCGUAUUCUAUAAGCACGUGUGGCCCGCAUUGAACAGACUUCAAUCGAAUGAUAAAAGGGUGUUUAGUGGAAUACCUAAGAUAUACGCUGCUAGAGCCAAUCUUAUCGCUAUGGAAGAUCUGAGAGAGAGAGGCUUCAAGAUGGCAGAUAGACGGCAGGGGCUGGAAAUGGAAAAUUUGAAAUAUGUAUUGAAGGCUUUAGCGGGAUUUCACGCCCUUAGCUUAACGCUAAAGGAAUCCAGGCCAGAGGAGUUCGCGAAAUUAACAAAUCCGGAACAUGAUCAAAGUGUACGUGAAACAUUUUUUCGACGAGACAAUGAAGAUUGGUAUCGACAGUAUUAUCGUGUGGCUGUGAAUAAUGCUAUCAAAAUGGUGUCCGAAGCACUACCUUUGCAUAUGGAUCAUAGAAGAGAGGAGAUAAUGACGAAGCUGCAUGCUUUCCUAGACGAGGACGUAUUUUUUCGCACUAUGAGUGAGCUCGUCUCGACGCAAGGACCUCUCUCUGUAUUUUGUCACGGCGAUUGUUGGACCAAUAAUUUCCUCUUUCAGGAUGAACCAAGCUCAGAUACGGAGGCCGUUUAUCUUGUCGACUUUCAACUAACGCGGGUUGGCUCCCUCGCUCUUGAUCUUGCGAACUUGCUAUACUGUUGCACAAGUGGUGUUGUUAGGCGGGCUUACAUGACACAGCUUCUCCAGCAUUAUCAUUCCCAUCUGAUGUCCUCCUUGCGUGUCCUCAAUCCAGAACAGCCACCAAAAGAUCCAUCUGCCGUAUGGGAAUUAUUGAACGAAGAGAUGCGAAGAUGUGGUCGAUUCGGAUUGGGAUUAGCAUUGGAUAUGUUGCCGAUUAGUACAUGUGCUAGUCACGAAGCGCCGAAUUUAUACGAGACGAGUAGCGUGGAAACUAAUCAUAGCGAAGAGAAAUAUGUUAUGAUAGAACCACCACCUGGAGGCGCCGAGUGUGCUCGACUCAUGACUGACUUAGUAUUGGAAUUAAUAGAUAACAAAGCUUUGUAGAUUAAAAUAUAUCGCAUUAGCUUUGGUAACAAUGCAUAUGUAAUAAUAUGUAUGAUGUAUAUUAUACAUGUAUACGUCUUACAUUAUUUUUAUAAAUUGCAUCACUCUUAUGAUGUAUCACUUCAGAAAAAUAAUAUAAAGAAUUAUAUGAAAUUCAACAUACAUGUGCAUGUAAUGAAGAAAGAAUGAAGAGAAAUAGUUUUUCACUAAUUGAUCUAAUAUAUACAUCUAUAUAAUA
rnacentral:sRNA from 1 species